rnacentral:misc_RNA from 1 species
AACUUUUGGCAAUGGAUCACUUGGCUCUCGCAUCGAUGAAGAACGCAGCGAAAUGCGAUAAGUAAUGUGAAUUGCCGAAUUCCGUGAAUCAUCGAAUCUUUGAACGCACCUUGCGCUCCUUGGUAUUCCGAGUAGCAUGCCUGUUUGAGUGUCAUGAAAUUCUCAACUGCCUUUUAGCAUUUAUGUUAGGAGUGUAGUUGGAGUUGGAGGAUAAUUGCUGGCGCAACUGAGGUUUCUUGUUGGCUCCUCUUGAAUGGAUGAGCUUUUCUGAUGUGAUCCAUAGCUUAGUAACACUAAUGUGAUAAUUAUCUACGUUAGAUGUGAAGAGGCUCCUACAGAAAAGGUGUAUCUUGGGGAUAACAAACCCUUGACUUUGACAAAUCUGACCUCAAAUCAGGUAGGACUACCCGCUGAACUUAAGCAUAUCAAUAAGCGGAGGCU